rnacentral:lncRNA from 1 species
CCGCCCCGGAGCCUGACAGCUAGGUCCACUCGCCUCCAGGCCCUCGUGGGGCCCCUUGGCCAACUGGGGCUGCCCCCGGGGCCUUUGCCGUCUCAGAGGGGGUCGUGUGCUCCCAGCCCUGCGGGGCCAGCGCAGCCUGUCCACAGCCUGAUGACGCCCUGCUCUUGGGACAUUGAGGAGGCCGUGCUGAGGGCAGGCCCCGGGCAUACGGGGUCGCCGCGCAAGAGAAGGGUGUGCCCGAGAGACGGAUGGCGAGCCACACAGUGGCCAGGCAGGACCGGCUUCCGGAGUGGCUGGACGCGCUCGGACGGACGGCCAGGCCCAUCAUGGCGGACAGCGGGAGCGAGGGGCGCGCGCAGGUGCCAGGAGCCAGGCAGGUGAGGUAAGCCGGGCGGGCCGGCGGGCCGGCGCAGACAGGUGGGUGCGCCG